UCCCUGGUGAUCUAGUGGCUAGGACUCGGCACUUUCAUUGCUGCAGCCCAGGUUCAAUACCUGGUUUGGGAA
rnacentral:tRNA from 1 species